rnacentral:rRNA from 1 species
AACGCGAAGAACCUUACCUGGGUUUGACAUCCUCUGACCGCCUAUGAAAGUAGGUUUCCCCGCAAGGGGCAGAGAGACAGGUGCUGCAUGGCUGUCGUCAGCUCGUGUCGUGAGAUGUUGGGUUAAGUCCCGCAACGAGCGCAACCCUUAUCUUUAGUUGCCAUCGGGUCAAGCCGGGCACUCUAGAGAGACUGCCGGUGACAAACCGGAGGAAGGUGGGGAUGACGUCAAGUCCUCAUGGCCUUUAUAUCCAGGGCUACACACGUGCUACAAUGGCGUAUACAAAGGGCUGCGAACCCGCAAGGGGGAGCCAAUCCCAAAAAGUACGCCCCAGUUCGGAUUGGAGUCUGCAACUCGACUCCAUGAAGCCGGAAUUGCUAGUAAUCGCGGAUCAGAACGCCGCGGUGAAUACGUUCCCGGGCCUUGUACACACCGGUACUCUC